UGGGGAAUUUUGCACAAUGGGGGAAACCCUGAUGCAGCGACGCCGCGUGAUUUAGAAGGCCUUCGGGUUGUAAAAAUCUUUUCUAUGGGAAGAAAAUGACAGUACCAUAGGAAUAAGGACCGGCUAAUUACGUGCCAGCAGCCGCGGUAAUACGUAAGGUCCGAGCGUUGUCCGGAAUCAUUGGGCGUAAAGCGAGCGCAGGCGGGCAAUUAAGUCUGAUGUGAAAGCCCCCGGCUCAACCGGGGAGGGUCAUUGGAAACUGGUUGACUUGAGUGCAGAAGAGGAGAGUGGAAUUCCAUGUGUAGCGGUGAAAUGCGUAGAUAUAUGGAAGAACACCAGUGGCGAAGGCGACUCUCUGGUCUGUAACUGACGCUGAGGCUCGAAAGCGUGGGUAGCAAACAGG
rnacentral:rRNA from 1 species